rnacentral:rRNA from 1 species
GAUGAACGCUAGCUACAGGCUUAACACAUGCAAGUCGAGGGGCAGCAUGGUCUUAGCUUGCUAAGGCCGAUGGCGACCGGCGCACGGGUGAGUAACACGUAUCCAACCUGCCGUCUACUCUUGGACAGCCUUCUGAAAGGAAGAUUAAUACAAGAUGGCAUCAUGAGUUCACAUGUUCACAUGAUUAAAGGUAUUCCGGUAGACGAUGGGGAUGCGUUCCAUUAGAUAGUAGGCGGGGUAACGGCCCACCUAGUCUUCGAUGGAUAGGGGUUCUGAGAGGAAGGUCCCCCACAUUGGAACUGAGACACGGUCCAAACUCCUACGGGAGGCAGCAGUGAGGAAUAUUGGUCAAUGGGCGAGAGCCUGAACCAGCCAAGUAGCGUGAAGGAGGACUGCCCUAUGGGUUGUAAACUUCUUUUAUAAAGGGAUAAAGUCGGGUAUGUAUACCCGUUUGCAUGUACUUUAUGAAUAAGGAUCGGCUAACUCCGUG